rnacentral:rRNA from 1 species
CCUACGGGCGGCAGCAGUGAGGAAUAUUGGUCAAUGGUCGGAAGCCUGAACCAGCCAAGCCGCGUGAGGGAUGAAGGUACAAAGUAUCGUAAACCUCUUUUGUCAGGGAACAAAGGCAGGCACGUGUCCCCGGCUGAGUGUACCUGAAGAAAAAGCAUCGGCUAACUCCGUGCCAGCAGCCGCGGUAAUACGGAGGAUGCAAGCGUUAUCCGGAUUUAUUGGGUUUAAAGGGUGCGCAGGCGGGCUGUUAAGUCAGCGGUCAAAGCCCGGGGCUCAACCCCGGCCCGCCGUUGAAACUGGCAGUCUUGAGUUGGAGAGAAGUAGGCGGAAUGCGCGGUGUAGCGGUGAAAUGCAUAGAUAUCGCGCAGAACUCCGAUUGCGAAGGCAGCAUGCCGGAUACAAACUGACGCUGAGGCACGAAAGCGUGGGUAUCGAACAGGAUUAGAUACCCUAGUAGUC